rnacentral:lncRNA from 1 species
GAAAAGAAAUUGAGGCACCCAAUUUCUCUCCAAUAUCUCUUCCCUCUCUCAUUCUAACCACCCAUCUGUUCGCUACCGAAUUCCCUGAUCCUUGACCUGGUCAAAGAUCCUCCUCGGGGAGCGUGUCGGGAUGGAAACAGCUUCGGAUAGUGACCCUCGAAGUUUGCGCCCUUCGACUGAUCAAGCGAUUCGGCUGACGAGGGAUCGGGUCAGCCGGGUUCGAAAACUCUACAAUAAAAUCGGUUCGGCUAGAUUGAGCCGAAUGUGGAAUCAGUUCAGCUAGAUUGAGCCGAAUGUACAGAAAACACAAGAUCUGGGGUCGGCUGAUGAGCCGAAUGGAUGGAAUACACAGUAACUGGUCGGCUGGAAGAGUCGAAUGGAAGAAAAUACAGUGAUUGGUCGACUGAGAGAGCCGAAUAGCUUUAUAUAUUAAUAAAACAGAGUGUGCUCGAAAGGCAUACAGGCUGUGAAAAUCUAGUUUACAACAGAGUGUGCCCGUGGGGCAUACAGACUCUAGAGAUCUAACUUAAAAACUACUCCUAGGAAAGCAGUAAAUGCAGAUAAAAAAUAUUACAUGUAGACUACUCCUAGAAAACGAUAAAUGUAAGAAGGAAAAAAUAUGAAAAUGUGGUGGUCUUCUCGUUCAGGGGAGAGAAAUAUCCUUAUUGUAGGCUUCGAAAUUACUAUUUAUAGUAAUAUCAACCCACAUUAUUGGUUGGUUGAAAGUAGUGGGGGGAGUGGUUGUAACCAUGAUCGUGGAAGUUACGCCCACUCUUCAUGGGAGUUACGCCCCAUCAUGGAAGUUACGCUCACUUCUCACAGAAGUUACGCCCCACUUCUUAACCGUUCCAGCCUAAAACCUUCAGGCGCCUUAUUGCCGACUCCUGGUGUAUCACCGUGUCCUCAUU